rnacentral:tRNA from 1 species
GUGCUAGUGUAGCUCAAUUGGUAGAGCAACUGAUUUGUAAUCAGUUGGUUGCGGGUUCAAGUCCUGUCACUAG